rnacentral:rRNA from 1 species
AGCAGUAGCCACGGGAAUACGGAGGGAGCUAGCGUUGUUCGGAAUUACUGGGCGUAAAGCGCACGUGGGCGGCUACUCAAGUCGGGGGUGAAAGCCCGGGGCUCAACCCCGGAACUGCCCUCGAAACUAGGUAGCUAGAAUCUUGGAGAGGUCAGUGGAAUUCCGAGUGUAGAGGUGAAAUUCGUAGAUAUUCGGAAGAACACCAGUGGCGAAGGCGACUGACUGGACAAGUAUUGACGCUGAGGUGCGAAAGCGUGGGGAGCAAACAGGAUUAGAUACCCCCGUAGUCCCUGUCUCUUAUAC